GACGAACGCUGGCGGCGUGCUUAACACAUGCAAGUCGAACGGAAAGGCCCUGCUUUUGUGGGGUGCUCGAGUGGCGAACGGGUGAGUAACACGUGAGUAACCUGCCCUUGACUUUGGGAUAACUUCAGGAAACUGGCGCUAAUACCGGAUAGGUGCUCCUGCUGCAUGGUGGGGGUUGGAAUGUUUCGGCGGUUGGGGAUGGACUCGCGGCUUAUCAGCUUGUUGGUGGGGUAGUGGCUUACCAAGGCUUUGACGGGUAGCCGGCCUGAGAGGGUGACCGGCCACAUUGGGACUGAGAUACGGCCCAGGCUCCCACGGGAGGCAGCAGUGGGGAAUAUUGCACAAUGGGCGGAAGCCUGAUGCAGCAACGCCGCGUGCGGGAUGACGGCCUUCGGGUUGUAAACCGCUUUCGCCUGUGACGAAGCGUGAGUGACGGUAAUGGGUAAAGAAGCACCGGCUAACUACGUG
rnacentral:rRNA from 1 species